rnacentral:rRNA from 1 species
UGGGGAAUAUUGGACAAUGGGCGCAAGCCUGAUCCAGCCAUGCCGCGUGAGUGAUGAAGGCCUUAGGGUUGUAAAGCUCUUUUAGCAGGGAAGAUAAUGACGGUACCUGCAGAAAAAGCCCCGGCUAACUUCGUGCCAGCAGCCGCGGUAAUACGAAGGGGGCUAGCGUUGCUCGGAAUUACUGGGCGUAAAGCGCACGUAGGCGGACUCUUAAGUCGGUGGUGAAAUCCUGGAGCUCAACUCCAGAACUGCCUUCGAUACUGGGAGUCUUGAGUUCGGGAGAGGUGAGUGGAACUGCGAGUGUAGAGGUGAAAUUCGUAGAGAUCGGGAGGAACAUCUGUGGCGAAGGCGACUGCCUGGACCAGCACUGACACUGAGGCACGAAAGCGUGGGGAGCAAACA